GGGGUUGACCGGUAUUGACAGCGGGUAGAAGAGGUUUGUAAGCAUGCAGUGCGUUGUUGGUUUGCACUUUAAUCUCAAUCGGCAAAGCUAUAACUGGCAAUAAUAACAAUUACGCUCUUGCUGCGUAACCGAAGUACAGUAGGUUCAUCGCUUAAUUCUGCCACAUGUGGCGGAACAAGACAUCACCCGGAAGCUGUGGCUUCGAAGCAUUCCGAUCAGGUGGUGCAGGUAAAUCGGAGAUAGGAUGGGAGAGGCUUCGGCUCCUUUCCGAAAUUAAGAAGAUAAGGAUUGAGUUUGGUGUCUUCAGUCGCGCUCCUUCCCGACAAAUAAAAUGAAGAUAAGCAUGUAGAAAGCAGAUUGCUUCCUCGUUUGGACGAGGGUUCGAGUCCCUCCAGCUCCACAA
rfam:Bacteroidetes bacterium GWD2_45_23 gwd2_scaffold_79, whole genome shotgun sequence.